UGAUGGCCAUAUCAUGUUGAAACACUGGUUCUUGUGCAAUCACCAAAGUUAAGCAAUGUCAAGCUUGGUUACUAUCUAGGUGGGUGAUCACUUGGAAAUACCAGGUGCUGUGA